rnacentral:rRNA from 1 species
GAUGAACGCUGGCGGCGUGCCUAAUACAUGCCAGUCGAGCGAACAGACGAGGAGCUUGCUCCUCUGACGUUAGCGGCGGACGGGUGAGUAACACGUGGAUAACCUACCUAUAAGACUGGGAUAACUUCGGGAAACCGGAGCUAAUACCGGAUAAUAUAUUGAACCGCAUGGUUCAAUAGUGAAAGAUGGUUUUGCUGUCACUUAUAGAUGGAUCCGCGCCGCAUUAGCUAGUUGGUAAGGUAACGGCUUACCAAGGCAACGAUGCGUAGCCGACCUGAGAGGGUGAUCGGCCACACUGGAACUGAGACACGGUCCAGACUCCUACGGGAGGCAGCAGUAGGGAAUCUUCCGCAAUGGGCGAAAGCCUGACGGAGCAACGCCGCGUGAGUGAUGAAGGUCUUCGGAUCGUAAAACUCUGUUAUUAGGGAAGAACAAAUGUGUAAGUAACUAUGCACGUCUUGACGGUACCUAAUCAGAAAGCCACGGCUAACUACGUG